GGAGAGAGGGAGAGACUAGACUGAGAGAGAUGGUGGAGAGAGAGACUGGACUGGGAGAGGGAGAGGGAGAGAGAGAUGGGAGAGAGGGAGAGACUAGACUGAGAGAGAUGGUGGAGAGAGAGACUGGACUGCGGGAGAGAGAGAGAGAGUUGUGGAGGUCUUCGGGCACAAGUACAAAGAUAUAUAGAUAAAAAUAAGUUGUGUAUAUAGGGGAGGGAGUAUCUUUCAGAUUUUAGCAGAGGAUCUACAUAUUAUAGAGGGAGAGAUUCUGAGAGAGAUUAAAGAGAGCGCAAACGGGAGUUGGGAGAGCGACAAAGUGGGUUCAUGCGGACUGCCCUCGCUUGCUCAAAUACCAGUACAAAACAAAAGGUCCUGCGUAUUCUCUUU
rnacentral:lncRNA from 1 species